UCGUAUAGCCGUCUCGCUUCUUCUUGUGUGUGCUUUACCGUUGCUGACCGCUUCAAGAACAUUGCUGCUCACACACACGUCAGUCUGUGGCAAACAAUUGGAGGGGGAGGAUGUGUCGGUUUGCUCCAGAAAUCGUGUGUGAUUUUGGUGUUCUGGAUUUGGUUCCAUCCCUGUUUGUUUUGGUGAAAUUGAAAAGGUAAGACUCAUAGACCGAUGUAAAAGUGUGAGAGUAAAGUGAUGUUGAUGGUGACUGAUGCUUUUAUUUGUUUCUUUUCCUGCUUUCAUCCACUGAUGGUGUCGAGCAUCGCCGAGGAUGUGAUCGAAUGCGGAAUAUUCGAAACGAGGAGAUUCAUUCCGGAUUUUGUUUGCAAUAAGCGCUGAACUAAUCCUCCAGCUUACAGGACGGCAAAGGUACACGCACAAACGUGCACACAUCAGCCUUCUCGGAGAACGAGAACACGGGAGGGAGAGACCGGCAACGUAUAGAACCUUUACGCUCCCUCGUGCGUUCGUGCGUGCGUGCGCGCGCGCGUCUAUGUGUGUGUAUGUGUGUGCAUGCCUGCGUGCGUGGCUGUGUGUGUUUUUGCCGCUUCGCAUAACGAGAUCCUACGGGAUCACCUUGCGAAAAACACCAAGAGAGGGGGAGGG